rnacentral:rRNA from 1 species
GCGGCGGACGGGUGAGUAAUGCCUAGGAAUCUGCCUGGUAGUGGGGGACAACGUUUCGAAAGGAACGCUAAUACCGCAUACGUCCUACGGGAGAAAGCAGGGACCUUCGGGCCUUGCGCUAUCAGAUGAGCCUAGGUCGGAUUGGCUAGUUGGUGGGGUAAUGGCUCACCAAGGCGACGAUCCGUAACUGGUCUGAGAGGAUGAUCAGUCACACUGGAACUGAGACACGGUCCAGACUCCUACGGGAGGCAGCAGUC